CCGACCUUAGCUCAGUUGGUAGAGCGGAAGACUGUAGUUGGUGCUGUAAUCUUUAGGUCGCUGGUUCGAAUCCGGCAGGUCGGA
rfam:Solanum tuberosum cultivar DM 1-3 516 R44 scf00239_69, whole genome shotgun sequence.